GACGAACGCUGGCGGCGUGCUUAACACAUGCAAGUCGAACGGAAAGGCCCUGCUUGCAGGGUACUCGAGUGGCGAACGGGUGAGUAACACGUGGGUGAUCUGCCCUGCACUUCGGGAUAAGCCUGGGAAACUGGGUCUAAUACCGGAUAGGAGCCAUUUUUAGUGUGAUGGUUGGAAAGUUUUUUCGGUGUAGGAUGAGCUCGCGGCCUAUCAGCUUGUUGGUGGGGUAAUGGCCUACCAAGGCGGCGACGGGUAGCCGGCCUGAGAGGGUGGACGGCCACAGUGGGACUGAGAGACGGCCCAGACUCCUACGGGAGGCAGCAGUGGGGAAUAUUGCACAAUGGGCGCAAGCCUGAUGCAGCGACGCCGCGUGGGGGAGGACGGCCUUCGGGUUGUAAACUCCUUUCGCUAGGGACGAAGCUUUUUGUGACGGUACCUAGAGAAGAAGCACCGGCUAACUACGUG
rnacentral:rRNA from 1 species